rnacentral:rRNA from 1 species
UACGUAGGGGGCUAGCGUUGUCCGGAAUCAUUGGGCGUAAAGCGCGUGUAGGCGGCCCGGUAAGUCCGCUGUGAAAGUCGGGGGCUCAACCCUCGGAUGCCGGUGGAUACUGUCGGGCUUGAGUACGGAAGAGGCGAGUGGAAUUCCUGGUGUAGCGGUGAAAUGCGCAGAUAUCAGGAGGAACACCAAUUGCGAAGGCAGCUCGCUGGGACGUUACUGACGCUGAGACGCGAAGCGUGGGGAGCAAACAGG